ACACGGACCAAGGAGUCUAACGUGCGCGCGAGUCGCGGGGUGUCGUGCAGUCGGCGGCGUUCUUUCGAGGGCGUCGUCGGCUGCUCGUUACAAUACGAAACCCGUCUCGUUUUACGAAAGGCGCAAUGAAAGUGAAUUUAGGGGAAGAUGACGUUACCGAGUUCACGUUUCGCGCUCUUGUAGCGCGGCCGGUCGUCCGCAUUCCCAGGGCGUUCCAACGGCCCGGCGGCGUUGCGGAUCGUCGUUCCCUCGGGGGCGGCGGUCGGGCGUCGUCGAACCGGAGCGCACCUAUAGCGUGCACGUUGGUACCCGAAAGAUGGUGAACUAUGCCCGGCCAGGAUGAAGUCAGGGGAAACCCUGAUGGAGGUCCGCAGCGAUUCUGACGUGCAAAUCGAUCGUCUGAGCUGGGUAUAGGGGCGAAAGACUAAUCGAACCAUCUAGUAGUG
rnacentral:rRNA from 1 species